rnacentral:rRNA from 1 species
AACGAACGCUGGCGGCAUGCCUAACACAUGCAAGUCGAACGAGACCUUCGGGUCUAGUGGCGCACGGGUGCGUAACGCGUGGGAACCUGCCCUUAGGUUCGGAAUAACUCCCCGAAAGGGGUGCUAAUACCGGAUAAUGUCUUCGGACCAAAGAUUUAUCGCCUUUGGAUGGGCCCGCGUUGGAUUAGCUAGUUGGUAGGGUAAAAGCCUACCAAGGCGACGAUCCAUAGCUGGUCUGAGAGGAUGAUCAGCCACACUGGGACUGAGACACGGCCCAGACCCCUAGGGGGGGCAGCAGGGGGGAAAUUGGGACAAGGGGCGAAAGCCUGACCCAGAAACGCCGGGGAGGUGAUAAAGGCCUUAGGUUUGUAAAGCCCUUUUCCCCGGGAUGAUAGUAGCAGUACCGGGAGAAAAAGCCCCGGCAAACUCCGG